rnacentral:rRNA from 1 species
UAACGCGAAGGAACCUUACCUGGUCUUGACAUCCACAGAACCUGGCAGAGAUGCCGGGGUGCCUUCGGGAACUGUGAGACAGGUGCUGCAUGGCUGUCGUCAGCUCGUGUUGUGAAAUGUUGGGUUAAGUCCCGCAACGAGCGCAACCCUUAUCCUUUGUUGCCAGCGGUUAGGCCGGGAACUCAAAGGAGACUGCCAGUGAUAAACUGGAGGAAGGUGGGGAUGACGUCAAGUCAUCAUGGCCCUUACGACCAGGGCUACACACGUGCUACAAUGGCGCAUACAAAGAGAAGCGACCUCGCGAGAGCAAGCGGACCUCAUAAAGUGCGUCGUAGUCCGGAUUGGAGUCUGCAACUCGACUCCAUGAAGUCGGAAUCGCUAGUAAUCGUGAAUCAGAAGUCACGGGAAACGACUA